rnacentral:rRNA from 1 species
GAUGAACGCUGGCGGCAUGCCUAAUACAUGCAAGUCGAACGAGAGGAAGGAAAGCUUGCUUUUCUGAAUCUAGUGGCGAACGGGUGAGUAACGCGUAGGUAACCUGCCCAUGUGCCCGGGAUAACUUCUGGAAACGGAUGCUAAAACCGGAUAGGUAGCAGACAAGCAUUUGACUGCUAUUAAAGUGGCUAAGGCCAUGAACAUGGAUGGACCUGCGGUGCAUUAGCUAGUUGGUGAGGUAACGGCCCACCAAGGCGACGAUGCUUAGCCGGCCUGAGAGGGCGGACGGCCACAUUGGGACUGAGACACGGCCCAAACUCCUACGGGAGGCAGCAGUAGGGAAUUUUCGUCAAUGGGGGGAACCCUGAACGAGCAAUGCCGCGUGAGUGAGGAAGGUCUUCGGAUCGUAAAGCUCUGUUGUAAGAGAAAAACGACAUUCAUAGGGAAUGAUGAGUGAGUGAUGGUAUCUUACCAGAAAGUCACGGCUAACUACGUGCCAGCCGCCGCAGUAA